GGAUUUCACCUUCCUAUUGAAUGCUUCGGUUUCUAAUAGAUGAUUCAGUUCCUUCAUUCAUGUUUUAGUUCAUGUUCAAUCGAUUCAUUGCAGAGAUUACUUCAUCUUCCCCUUUAUAAUCCAUCCAACAAACAAAUAUCUUCUUCGUCGCAGAGGACUGGAACCGGUGGUGAUCCGCAAGAAAGCCCCCACCGCCGCCGCUCGUAAGGACGAGAAAGCCAUCAACGCCGCCCGUCGCGCCGGUGCUGAGAUCGAGACCGUACGCAAGGGGACAUGAAGUGGAGGUUAAAGUGGGAACAGAUAUAACACACAACAAUUCCAUCAAAAUCGGCUUCGUAUGUUGCGUUAUCGUCUACAAUUCCAGCCACUCCCUCAACGCAUCCAUACCAACGACGCCGCCCAUUCAACCUAUUGUUAGAUCAGGGUGGAUUUGUAUCAGUGUGUAGAGGUAGUCUUCGGACAGUGGUCAGGUGGUUAAUUAUAUGUUCAAUCCAGCAGGGAAAAAUUAAACAAUAAGGAGGAUAGUCAGGUUGGUUUUCAGGUUUCAAUGUCAUGGCGAUUUAGCAGACCAUGUCUUCUGACCCGUUACCAACCUAGCCCAACCGAUUUGUUCAUCUUACCGCCUCAGGUCUAAACGCUUGAGUUACGCACUUGCAGUUUGUGUGUUUUUUCUUAAGGGUGACUCUUUCAUGUUGUUUCAUUUGUUUUGUGGGUGUUAUUCAGCGGCAAUACAAUGUUUAAAGAGUAAAAGGCUCUAUGAACAAUAGGUUGAACAAAUUGGGCACUUCCACUUAUGUAUUCAUGACCAGAAUACAAAUUUUAGCUAAAUUUAUAAUGCCACCAGAAAGGUUCAUGGAAAUCUUAUAAGUUUGAGAAUUGAGUAGAUAAAUAUGAUCCACCAGAGUAGUUAGCUUGGAACUUCAUUCUAUUUUGUUUAUCCUAAAAGGUGUAUUAGCAACUUUUGUUUCUGCCAAGAAGAUUAGGCAUGCACAAAAAGUCAGGAGGCCAAUUGAAUCAGAUUAAUGCUUUUGUCAACGAGAGAUUGGUUUCAAUGGGUAAAGACAAUUGGGUGUGGGUUCCGGGUCUGGAUGGUGCCUUCUCAGUCGCUUAUUGUCGCUUGUUAUUUUCAAGAUAUUCAGUUCCUUUUCGACCUUUUCACUGGGUUAAAUGGGUACCGAAAAAAACUAAAUAUUUUUUGUUAGCAGGGAGCCCAAGAUAGGUUGCCCACUCUCAAAGUUUUACACAGACGCAAUAUUCACCAUGGGCCGACUCUAUGCAGAAUUUCGGAGAACGUGAUGAAGACGCGGAUCAUCUAUUCAUCUCUUGCUACGUCACAGCAGUAAUAUGGCACAAGGUCAAUGUGUGGUGUAGCAUUCCGCAAAUCUACGCUUUUACAAUGAAUGACCUGUUCGACGUACAUAAAAACUUGGCGAUAUCGAACCAUACGAAAAGGGUGAUACAAAUGAUUAUCUUGGUGGCGUGUUGGGUGAUUUGGAAGGCACGGAACGAUCUAAUAUUUUCGGGUAGUCGGCCAAAGAUAGACAAGAUAUUCAGAGAGUUACAAGCAAUGUCCUUCCUAUAGUUCAAUCAUCGGGCGAAACGAAACAAUACAUAAUGGAGCAAUUGGGUGAAUUUCACUGCUGUGUAAUAAAAAUUGUUGAACUAGGUGGUAAAUGUAAAAUCCGAUAGGGGAGAUGUAUACUUUGUUUUAGCAGCUUGUUAAUCAGUGUAUAAAAAAGUUUGGUGAGAUGAAUGAGAAAAUGUUUGCUCUUUAAAA